rnacentral:rRNA from 1 species
UGUCUAGCUUGCUAGACAGAUGGCGAGUGGCGAACGGGUGAGUAACGCGUAGGAAUAUGCCUUGAAGAGGGGGACAACUUGGGGAAACUCAAGCUAAUACCGCAUAAUGUCUGAGGACGAAAGCUGGGGACCUUCGGGCCUGGCGCUUUAAGAUUAGCCUGCGUCCGAUUAGCUAGUUGGUGGGGUAAGGGCCUACCAAGGCGACGAUCGGUAGCUGGUCUGAGAGGAUGACCAGCCACACUGGAACUGAGACACGGUCCAGACUCCUACGGGAGGCAGCAGUGGGGAAUAUUGGACAAUGGGGGCAACCCUGAUCCAGCAAUGCCGCGUGUGUGAAGAAGGCCUGAGGGUUGUAAAGCACUUUCAGUGGGGAGGAGGGUUGAUAGGUUAAGAGCUAAUUAACUGGACGUUACCCACAGAAGAAGCACCGGCUAACUCCGUGCCAGCAGCCGCGGUAAUACGGAGGGUGCAAGCGUUAAUCGGAAUUACUGGGCGUAAAGGGUGCGUAGGUGGUUGAUUAAGUUAUCUGUGAAAUUCCUGGGCUUAACCUGGGACGGUCAGAUAAUACUGGUUGACUCGAGUAUGGGAGAGGGUAGUGGAAUUUCCGGUGUAGCGGUGAAAUGCGUAGAGAUCGGAAGGAACACCAGUGGC